CUUUCAUUCAACCAUCAGAUGCUCUCAUAUUUUCAUUCGUUUUAUAAAACCACAUUCAGCAGAAUUUGGAACUAAUAUAUUGUGGACUUCAGUUAAGAUGGAGGAGAGGCAGAUGAUACUCAUAAUGAUCAUCACAGUUUCAGGCAUUUAUGCUGAUAGAAUUGGACCAAGAGAAGGAGACACUAAUAUAAUCAGAGAAGAAGGAGAGUCUGUGACACUGAGCUGCACAUAUGAAACAACCAGCAAUAAUAUUUGGCUCUACUGGUACAGACAAUAUCCAAA